UACGUAGGGUGCAAGCGUUAUCCGGAAUUAUUGGGCGUAAAGAGCUCGUAGGCGGUUUUUCGCGUCUGCUGUGAAAACUGGGGGCUCAACCCCCAGCCUGCAGUGGGUACGGGCAGACUAGAGUGCGGUAGGGGAGAUUGGAAUUCCUGGUGUAGCGGUGAAAUGCGCAGAUAUCAGGAGGAACACCGGUGGCGAAGGCGGGUCGCUGGGCAGUAACUGACGCUGAGGAGCGAAAGCGUGGGGAGCGAACAGG
rnacentral:rRNA from 1 species